rnacentral:rRNA from 1 species
UACGGGGGGAGCAAGCGUUGUUCGGAUUUACUGGGCGUAAAGGGCGCGUAGGCGGUCAGCACAAGUCAAUUGUGAAAUCUCCGAGCUUAACUCGGAAAGGUCAACUGAAACUGUGCGACUAGAGUGCGGAAGGGGCAACUGGAAUUCUUGGUGUAGCGGUGAAAUGCGUAGAUAUCAAGAGGAACACCUGCGGCGAAGGCGGGUUGCUGGGCCGACACUGACGCUGAGGAGCGAAAGCUAGGGGAGCAAACGGG